rnacentral:rRNA from 1 species
AUUGAACGCUAGCGGGAUGCCUUACACAUGCAAGUCGAACGGCAGCACGGACUUCGGUCUGGUGGCGAGUGGCGAACGGGUGAGUAAUGUAUCGGAACGUGCCCAGUAGCGGGGGAUAACUACUCGAAAGAGUAGCUAAUACCGCAUACGCCCUACGGGGGAAGGGGGGGGAUCUUCGGACCUCACGCUAAUAGAUGAGCCUAGGUCGGAUUAGCUAGUUGGUGGGGUAACGGCUCACCAAGGCGACGAUCCGUAGCUGGUCUGAGAGGAUGAUCAGCCACACUGGAACUGAGACACGGUCCAGACUCCUACGGGAGGCAGCAGUGGGGAAUAUUGGACAAUGGGCGAAAGCCUGAUCCAGCCAUGCCGCGUGUGUGAAGAAGGUCUUCGGAUUGUAAAGCACUUUAAGUUGGGAGGAAGGGUUGUAAGCUAAUAUCUUGCAGCUUUGACGUUACCAACAGAAUAAGCACCGGCUAACUCUGUGCCAGCAGCCGCGGUAA